rnacentral:rRNA from 1 species
CGUGUAGGCGGUUUUGCAAGUCUGGUGUGAAAUACUGCAGCUUAACUGCAGAGACGCGCUGGAAACUGUGAGACUAGAGUACUGGAGGGGGACAUGGAAUUCCUGGUGUAGGGGUGAAAUCUGUAGAUAUCAGGAAGAACACCGGUGGCGAAGGCGAUGUCCUGGCCAAGUACUGACGCUGAGGCGCGAAAGCGUGGGGAGCGAACAGGAUUAGAUACCCUGGUAGUCC